rnacentral:rRNA from 1 species
UGGGGAAUAUUGGACAAUGGGCGCAAGCCUGAUCCAGCCAUGCCGCGUGAGUGAUGAAGGCCCUAGGGUUGUAAAGCUCUUUCACCGGUGAAGAUAAUGACGGUAACCGGAGAAGAAGCCCCGGCUAACUUCGUGCCAGCAGCCGCGGUAAUACGAAGGGGGCUAGCGUUGUUCGGAUUUACUGGGCGUAAAGCGCACGUAGGCGGACUUUUAAGUCAGGGGUGAAAUCCCGGGGCUCAACCCCGGAACUGCCUUUGAUACUGGAAGUCUUGAGUAUGGGAGAGGUGAGUGGAAUUCCGGGUGUAGAGGUGAAAUUCGUAGAUAUUCGGAGGAACACCAGUGGCGAAGGCGGCUCACUGGACCAUUACUGACGCUGAGGUGCGAAAGCGUGGGGAGCAAACAGG